CCGUAAACAACCUGUUUACUCUGGAAUUCAAGAUAACCAGAUCGUGGACAUGCUGACCGAGCCGCUGCCAGCAGCCAGGUUCCGCGACCUGCGGGACACGAAUGUGGAAGAAUAAUGUUUUAUAAUGUUUCAAUAAAUACUAAUAGUAAUUAAUUAUUUAAUGAU